GUUUCCAUAGUGUAGUGGUUAUCACGUUUCCAUAGCCUAACUGAAAGGUCCCCAGUUUGAAACUGGGUGGAAACA
rnacentral:tRNA from 1 species